ensembl:antisense 1700119I11Rik RIKEN cDNA 1700119I11 gene
AGUUUAACCUUAGUUAAGAAAUCUUGCAUCAUGGGAAAAAGAAAUGGAGCCUGGAGCCUACCUUGGAUGCAUCCAGGUCUGUAGGAUGCUUCAUCACCCUAGGGUCAUAGCCAUUGUGCCUUAGUUUGAUGACAGGAUCAAAAAGGGCCAGAGGGCCAGGUUGGAUGGCUUCCUGCGAAAUUCUCCAUGCACCAUGCGGAACAUGCAUAGAAGAGUAUACUAGUAGAUGAGAAUGAAAAGAAUAAAUGUACACAAGUUAAACA